GAUGAACGCUGGCGGCGUGCUUAACACAUGCAAGUCGAACGAAUCACUUUAUUUGAUUUCCUUCGGGACUGAUUAUUUUGUGACUGAGUGGCGGACGGGUGAGUAACGCGUGGGUAACCUGCCUUGUACAGGGGGAUAACAGUUGGAAACGGCUGCUAAUACCGCAUAAGCGCACAGCAUCGCAUGAUGCAGUGUGAAAAACUCCGGUGGUAUAAGGUGGACCCGCGUUGGAUUAGCUAGUUGGUGAGGUAACGGCCCACCAAGGCGACGAUCCAUAGCCGACCUGAGAGGGGGACCGGCCACAUUGGGACUGAGACACGGCCCAAACUCCUACGGGAGGCAGCAGUGGGGAAUAUUGCACAAUGGGCGAAAGGCUGAUGCAGCGACGCCGCGUGAGCGAAGAAGUAUUUCGGUAUGUAAAGCUCUAUCAGCAGGGAAGAUAAUGACGGUACCUGACUAAGAAGCACCGGCUAAAUACGUG
rnacentral:rRNA from 1 species